rnacentral:rRNA from 1 species
AACCGGAGGAAGGUGGGGAUGACGUCAAGUCAUCAUGGCCCUUAUGUCCAGGGCUACACACGUGCUACAAUGGGCGAGACAGAGCGACGCGAAGCCGCGAGGUGGAGCAAAUCGCAGAAAAUCGCCCUCAGUUCGGAUUGGAGUCUGAAACCCGACUCCAUGAAGGUGGAAUCGCUAGUAAUCGCGCAUCAGCAUGGCGCGGUGAAUACGUUCCCGGGCCUU